UGGGGAAUUUUGCGCAAUGGGGGAAACCCUGACGCAGCAACGCCGCGUGGAGGAUGAAGUCCCUUGGGACGUAAACUCCUUUCGACCGGGACGAUUAUGACGGUACCGGUGGAAGAAGCCCCGGCUAACUUCGUGCCAGCAGCCGCGGUAAUACGAGGGGGGCAAGCGUUGUUCGGAAUUAUUGGGCGUAAAGGGUGCGUAGGCGGUUUGGCAAGUCUUGUGUGAAAUCUUCGGGCUCAACCCGAAGCCUGCACAAGAAACUGCCGGGCUUGAGUAUGGGAGAGGUGAGUGGAAUUUCCGGUGUAGCGGUGAAAUGCGUAGAUAUCGGAAGGAACACCUGUGGCGAAAGCGGCUCACUGGACCAUAACUGACGCUGAUGCACGAAAGCUAGGGGAGCAAACAGGAUUAGAUACCCUGGUAGUCCUAGCCCUAAACGAUGAUUGCUUGGUGUGGCAGGUACCCAAUCCUGCCGUGCCGAAGCUAACGCGAUAAGCAAUCCGCCUGGGGAGUACGGUCGCAAGGC
rnacentral:rRNA from 1 species